rnacentral:sRNA from 1 species
UUUCAGAUAAUGUACACAACUACCAAAUACCAAAUACAUAUGCCUGUAGCUUCUGUAUAAGCCUGAAUCCCGUGAUAUAUAGAACAAAAAAAAAGAAAUCUGGGAUAAAAAAUAUAUAAAAAAAUCCAAACGCUGCUGCAGCUUUUCUCUAAAAAUAAAAGGCCAGAUAUAUAGCCAUUAUAUAAUGUUAUCUUAGAAAGCCAGUAAACUGAAACUUAAAUAGAAAAUUAAAAAAAAAAAAAAACAUAAACCAGAACAAGCUGCUGUUAUUUUGAUUGUUGCGCUUGAAAUGCUAUAUAACCUACUAUCCUACCCAGCAAAAUAAAAUAAACGUUACAAAGAAAGGUCCUUUUUUAUUGAGUUCCAAAACCACCAACACCAUCCUCACCACCACCUCUUCAACAUCACCUCGACCUCAACUUUUUUUGGGCUGUCAAUUGUUUUUGAGUUUUUGACACUUAUGGUUUUGGUUAUGGUUUUUUGAUUUUGCUGGAUAAAAUAACCUCCAAAAGCCUAGCUAAUUUAGAUAAAAAACCAAACGGUACGGUUAUAUAAAAAAAUCGUAUUAAUUAAAAUUGAAAUUAAAACCAAAAACCGGCUGGCUUGAAACCGCUCGUACUACUCUAGUCAUCAUUUCUAUAAAUAAAAAUAAUUGUUUUUUUUUGUUUAUUUUAAAUUUAUUAAAAAAUAAAAUAAAUUUUUUGUUUUUUUUUUUUUUUCUAAAGAAAAAAGUUGCCGGAAUAAAUAACUCAACUCAAAUGUAGAUUUGUGAGUGUUAAUAUUUCAAGAGAAUAAAAAAAGAGAAAAAUUUACAAAAAAGAAAAAAAUACUCUUAAAAAAUAAAUUUAAAAAACUUGGCAACCCUAAAAAUUGACAGCAAGGAAAAAUUGAAAAAGAAAAAUCAAGAAAACAAGAAAAAGUCAUUCACAACAAAGAUAUCAAAAAAAAAAACUGACAAAUCACAGAGAAUGUUGAACUACCAAAAUCGGGAUUAAUCUGGAGAACAUCAACAAAGGACUUGGAAGCUGAAAUCUUGCCCUCAUCGACAUCAACCAACAAAUCUCUAUUUAGUCCUCCCUCCACGUUUUCAUCAUCCCUAUAAUCUUCGACUAUCUCUCCGGCUCACGCUCUCUGUGUGUGUGUGCGCGUUCUUUUCGCACUCUCUCUCUGUCUCAUCAAAAUAUCCUAUACCCCGCCCGGAUCCCCGACAGUGAUUUUUGGCCAGUAUCCAUUACCCAUUAUCCGCCUCCAUCUAUCCAUCCAUACAUCAUCAGCAACUAGACGGCAGCUUUUCUUUAUGUAAGAAACAUACCUAAAUAGACUGUCCAGCGGUGUUUUAUUGCUAAAUCCAAAAUAAAAA